GUGGGGAAUCUUGCGCAAUGGGCGAAAGCCUGACGCAGCCAUGCCGCGUGAAUGAUGAAGGUCUUAGGAUUGUAAAAUUCUUUCACCGGGGACGAUAAUGACGGUACCCGGAGAAGAAACCCCGGCUAACUUCGUGCCAGCAGCCGCGGUAAUACGAAGGGGGCUAGCGUUGCUCGGAAUUACUGGGCGUAAAGGGCGCGUAGGCGGACAGUUUAGUCAGAGGUGAAAGCCCAGGGCUCAACCUUGGAAUUGCCUUUGAUACUGGCUGUCUUGAGUACGGGAGAGGUGAGUGGAACUCCGAGUGUAGAGGUGAAAUUCGUAGAUAUUCGGAAGAACACCAGUGGCGAAGGUGACUCACUGGCCCGUUACUGACGCUGAGGCGCGAAAGCGUGGGGAGCAAACAGGAUUAGAAACCCGAGUAGUCC
rnacentral:rRNA from 1 species